UACAGAGGUCUCAAGCGUUGUUCGGAUUCAUUGGGCGUAAAGGGUGCGUAGGCGGCGCCGUAAGUCGGGUGUGAAAUUUCGGAGCUUAACUCCGAAACUGCAUUCGAUACUGCGGUGCUUGAGGACUGGAGAGGAGACUGGAAUUCAUGGUGUAGCAGUGAAAUGCGUAGAUAUCGUGAGGAAGACCAGUGGCGAAGGCGGAUCUCUGGACAGCUCCUGACGCUGAGGCGCGAAGGCUAGGGGAGCAAACGGG
rnacentral:rRNA from 1 species